rnacentral:rRNA from 1 species
UGGGGAAUAUUGGACAAUGGGCGAAAGCCUGAUCCAGCCAUGCCGCGUGUGUGAAGAAGGCCCUCGGGUUGUAAAGCACUUUCAGUGGGGAAGAAAGCCUCGGGAUUAAUACUUCCGAGGAAGGACAUCACCCACAGAAGAAGCACCGGCUAACUCCGUGCCAGCAGCCGCGGUAAUACGGAGGGUGCGAGCGUUAAUCGGAAUUACUGGGCGUAAAGCGCGCGUAGGCGGUCUGAUCAGCCGGUUGUGAAAGCCCCGGGCUCAACCUGGGAACGGCAUCCGGAACUGUCAGGCUAGAGUGCAGGAGAGGAAGGUAGAAUUCCCGGUGUAGCGGUGAAAUGCGUAGAGAUCGGGAGGAAUACCAGUGGCGAAAGCGGCCUUCUGGACUGACACUGACGCUGAGGUGCGAAAGCGUGGGUAGCAAACA